GUCUGCAGCCAUACCACCCCCAAAGUGGAAGAUAAGCAGGGUCAGGCCUGGUUAGAAGUGGGAUGGGAGACUGCGGGAAUACUAGAUCAUUCUAGGCA
rnacentral:rRNA from 1 species